AGCAGCCGCGGUAAUUCCAGCUCCAAUAGCGUAUAUUAAAGUUGUUGCAGUUAAAAAGCUCGUAGUUGAAUUUCGGGAUUUAUCCGUUGGUCGGGCUUUUUGGUCUGUACUGGCGUGAUGGAUUCCUACCUUCUGAAUAACCGGCAUGCCAUUAAUUUGGUGCGCCGGGGAAGCAGGACUGUUACCUUGAAAAAAGUUAGAGUGCUUAAAGCAGGCUUAUGCCUGAAUACAUUAGCAUGGAAUAAUGAAAUAGGACGCAUGGUUCUAUUUUGUUGGUUUCUAGGAUCACCGUAAUGAUUAAUAGGGAUAGUUGGGGGCAUUAGUAUUCAAUUGUCAGAGGUGAAAUUCUUGGAUUUAUUGAAGACUAACUUCUGCGAAAGCAUUUGCCAAGGAUGUUUUCAUUAAUCAAGAACGAAAGUUAGGGGAUCGGAGACGAUCAGAUACCGUCGUAGUCUUAACCAUAAACUAUGCCGACUAGGGAUCGGACGAUGUUAAUUUUUAAUGACUCGUUCUGGCGCCU
rnacentral:rRNA from 1 species